rnacentral:rRNA from 1 species
AUGACCAAAACUCAAGCACAGAGGAAAAAAAUUACCAUGAGCAGGGAGCAGUUCAUGAUGGUAACUAUUAUUGACUUUUCAUUGUUCCAAGGAGUCAACUAUAUGUUUCGUGCUCACAUGUCAUGCUUCCAAAAUUUGCAUAGGCUGUUCCUUGUUGGUGCUAUGGAAGGCAUGACGGAUGGGCGUGUUUGGUGGAUAGGUGGGUCGGUGACGAUCCAGAGUUUGUUGCCAAGAGCAUCAAGGCCCGGGCUAACCGUGGAAAAGACGGGACACACGGCCAAGGAAACAGGAACCACUGGGGCUUCAAGGCCAUGA